GAUGAACGCUGGCGGCGUGCCUAAUACAUGCAAGUCGAGCGAACAGACGAGGAGCUUGCUCCUCUGACGUUAGCGGCGGACGGGUGAGUAACACGUGGAUAACCUACCUAUAAGACUGGGAUAACUUCGGGAAACCGGAGCUAAUACCGGAUAAUAUAUUGAACCGCAUGGUUCAAUAGUGAAAGACGGUUUUGCUGUCACUUAUAGAUGGAUCCGCGCCGCAUUAGCUAGUUGGUAAGGUAACGGCUUACCAAGGCGACGAUGCGUAGCCGACCUGAGAGGGUGAUCGGCCACACUGGAACUGAGACGCGGUCCAGACUCCUACGGGAGGCAGCAGUAGGGAAUCUUCCGCAAUGGGCGAAAGCCUGACGGAGCAACGCCGCGUGAGUGAUGAAGGUCUUCGGAUCGUAAAACUCUGUUAUUAGGGAAGAACAAAUGUGUAAGUAACUAUGCACGUCUUGACGGUACCUAAUCGGAAAGCCACGGCUAACUACGUG
rnacentral:rRNA from 1 species